UACGGAGGAUCCGAGCGUUAUCCGGAUUUAUUGGGUUUAAAGGGUGCGCAGGCGGGAGAUUAAGUCGGCGGUGAAAUUUUGCAGCUCAACUGUAAAAGUGCCUUCGAAACUGGUUUCCUUGAGUAUGUUUGAGGUAGGCGGAAUUCGUGGUGUAGCGGUGAAAUGCAUAGAUAUCACGAGGAACUCCGAUUGCGCAGGCAGCUUACUAAACUACUACUGACGCUCAGGCACGAAGGCGUGGGAGUCAAACAGGAUUAGAUACCCGCGUAGU
rnacentral:rRNA from 1 species